CUACGUCGGUCUGGGAGCUGGUUACGACGGCAUCAAUACGACUCCUGUGGGCCUGGAGGACGUGUCCAAGUAUCCUGAGCUGUUCGCCGAGCUACUGAAGGAUCCCUCCUGGUCUCUACAGGAUCUGAAGAAGCUGGCGGGCCUUAACCUCCUACGAGUCCUGAGGAGGGUGGAGCAGGUGCGGGAGGAGUUAGCGGGAGAGAAACCAUCAGAGGAGAUUAUUCCCAUCCACGACAUCGACACCCGCUGGCCCUGCAGGUACAAGUUCUCCAGCCUCGACCACGCCCGAACUUGACCUCCCGCGCCCACCACCACCACCACCACUAAGCCUCUUUCUACGCUUUCAUCUACGCCCUAAAGCCAAAGUUUAAGUCCAGCGUCUCUUCCCUCCCCUUCAGGUCCUGCGUCAGCCUGUAAGACACACAUCAACUUGGUACACAGGUAAAGAAUGUAGUGAUAUGACCCAGACACUUGAGGUGGUGAUUGGAGGUCAGAUUACGGGGUUAAGUCAGUGAAGUCACCUUGUUUGACCUCUUUUUUUUUUACGGCAUAUUGACCAGAGUAGGAAAAUGUGUUGGUGAUACAGGUUAGGAUAUAUUUGUGACCUUUGUUUGACCUCUCUCACGGUGAUAGUGGUAUAGGUAUACGUCUCACUGGAUCACCUGAAGAUUAUAGACACCCGAGGUUAUUUCACCUUAUGAUUCAAUAUCCUAACGCUAACCUAACCGAACCUAAGCAAAACAAACCCA
rnacentral:lncRNA from 1 species